CAAAGUGUAGCUUAACUAAAGCGUCUGGCUUACACCCAGAAGAUUUCACUACCCGUGGCCACUUUGA
rnacentral:tRNA from 1 species